AUCCAGCUGACUAGUCCCAAAUAGGACGAAAUCCGCGUCCUGGAU
rnacentral:hammerhead_ribozyme from 1 species